AGAAGAUGGACACCUGGGUCCCAACAAACUUUCUCUUUAGUUUCACAAUUACAAAGCAACAACCCUUUUAAUAUUUCCAGAAGAGAACUACAUAGUCACUAUCAGCCUGGAUGCAGAUACUUUAUACUAUAAACUGGAUACCUGGGAUUAUUCCUAUUUAUGGUUUUCUUUCACACAUCAGGGCUGGAGCCUAGAUGAAGGUUCAUCCAGAGCAAUUAUAGACCUGUCUCUGCUUGACAUGGAGAAUGCUGAAGAGAUGAAUUAUCAAUGACAAAGCCUUUUCAUGUUGUUUACAAACAGUUUCUCUUCUCUUUGGUAUGAAUAAAGUUCUUUAAUAUGAAUAAAGUUUAGUUCUACAGUUUUUCCUACAUUUGUUCAUUUGUUUAAAAAAUGUUUACUGAAGUAUAGUUGACAAUAUU
rnacentral:lncRNA from 1 species